UACCAGCACCCCGAGUGGUCGGGACGUUUUAUUGGGCCUAAAGCAUCCGUAGCCGGUUCUACAAGUCUUCCGUUAAAUCCACCUGCUCAACAGAUGGGCUGCGGAAGAUACUAUGGAGCUAGGAGGCGGGAGAGGCAAGCGGUACUCGAUGGGUAGGGGUAAAAUCCGUUGAUCCAUUGAAGACCACCAGUGGCGAAGGCGGCUUGCCAGGAACGCGC
rnacentral:rRNA from 1 species